rnacentral:rRNA from 1 species
UCGAAGUUGGUUCUUGGCGAGGUUGUGUCUCAUUGGCACUAUCGAACCUGGGGUCAGCAACGAGGGAGAAGUCGUAACAAGGUACCCUGAGACAGGGAGGGA